UACGGGGGGGGGCAAGCGUUGUUCGGAAUUACUGGGCGUAAAGGGCUCGUAGGCGGCCAACUAAGUCAGACGUGAAAUCCCUCGGCUUAACCGGGGAACUGCGUCUGAUACUGGAUGGCUUGAGUUUGGGAGAGGGAUGCGGAAUUCCAGGUGUAGCGGUGAAAUGCGUAGAUAUCUGGAGGAAUACCGGUGGCGAAGGCGGCAUCCUGGACCGACAUUGACGCUGAUGAGCGAAAGCUAGGGGAGCAAACGGG
rnacentral:rRNA from 1 species